GUGCUCACUUUGGCAGCAUCAAUACUAAAAUUGGAAUGAUAAGAAAAAAUUAGCAUGGCCCCUAUGCAAAGAUAACAUAAAUUCCUGGAACUUUCCAUAGUUUU